UGGGGAAUAUUGCACAAUGGGGGAAACCCUGAUGCAGCGACGCCGCGUGAGCGAAGAAGGCUUUCGAGUCGUAAAGCUCUGUCCUAUGAGAAGAUAAUGACGGUAUCAUAGGAGGAAGCCCUGGCUAAAUACGUGCCAGCAGCCGCGGUAAUACGUAUGGGGCGAGCGUUGUCCGGAAUUAUUGGGCGUAAAGGGUACGUAGGCGGUUUUUUAAGUCAGGUGUCAAAGCGUGGAGCUUAACUCCAUUAAGCACUUGAAACUGAAAGACUUGAGUGAAGGAGAGGAAAGUGGAAUUCCUGGUGUAGCGGUGAAAUGCGUAGAUAUUAGGAGGAAUACCGGUGGCGAAGGCGACGUUCUAGACUUUUACUGACGCUCAGGUACGAAAGCGUGGGGAGCAAACAGG
rnacentral:rRNA from 1 species